rnacentral:rRNA from 1 species
CAAAGAGCGGAAGCACAAAAGAGGAGGAAGAGCAUUCGCAUGGGUUCAUAUACACAAGAGGGGGACAAGUUGAUUUGCCAGUGUUGGAUGGAGAUUAGCCAAGAUCCGAGGACGGGCGCGCAACAAAAGGGCCUAGUUUUUUGGACGACAGUCCACAAAACUUUCCAUGAAAGGAAGAUGUUUGAGCCCUACCAAAUUACAAGCAAUCGUGGCAUCACCUCGAUUCAAAAGAGGUGGUUGUUCAUCCAACAAGAGUGCAACAAGUAUUGUGCCGCAUUUGAGAGCGUUGAAGCAUGGCCCGUGAGUGGUCUCGGCGAUGGGGACAUGGUAUGCUCUUCUCAUUCUAGUCCUUUCCUUGAUACGGCCAUGAGACUUUGGCCUUGUAUAUGUUUGCAUGUCCAAUUCUUGUUGAUCAUGUGGUGUAGGUAUUUCAAUCUUUGGAAGCAUUCAAGGCCCCACACAAUGACAAGCCAUUCACUCUUACGCAUUGUUGGACGAUCAUCAACAACUGCCCUAAGUUAA